AGAUUGAACGCUGGCGGCGUGCUUAACACAUGCAAGUCGAGCGGUAACAGGCGUAGCAAUACGUGCUGACGAGCGGCGAACGGGUGCGUAAUACAUGGGAAUCUGCCUUUUAGUGGGGAAUAACCCGGCGAAAGCCGGGCUAAUGCCGCAUAAGAUCUUCGGAUGAAAGCGGGGGAUCGUAAGACCUCGCGCUGAUAGAUGAGCCCAUGCCGGAUUAGCUAGUUGGUGAGGUAACGGCUCACCAAGGCGACGAUCCGUAG
rnacentral:rRNA from 1 species